ACCAGACUCCUACGGGAGGCAGCAGUGGGGAAUAUUGCACAAUGGGGGAAACCCUGAUGCAGCGACGCCGCGUGAGUGAAGAAGUAUUUCGGUAUGUAAAGCUCUAUCAGCAGGGAAGAAAAUGACGGUACCUGAUUAAGAAGCCCCGGCUAACUACGUGCCAGCAGCCGCGGUAAUACGUAGGGGGCAGGCGUUAUCCGGAUUUACUGGGUGUAAAGGGAGCGUAGACGGUGAUGCAAGUCAGAAGUGAAAGCCCGGGGCUCAACUCCGGGACUGCUUUUGAAACUGUGUGACUGGAGUGCAGGAGAGGUAAGCGGAAUUCCUGGUGUAGCGGUGAAAUGCGUAGAUAUCAGGAGGAACACCAGUGGCGAAGGCGGCUUACUGGACUGUAACUGACGUUGAGGCUCGAAAGCGUGGGGAGCAAACAGGAUUAGAUACCCCAGUA
rnacentral:rRNA from 1 species